rnacentral:misc_RNA from 1 species
UUGAAUCCUCAGGAUGUCGCUGGCUUCUCUGCAAAGGGAAGCAUGUGCACUCCGCCUUCAAUCCACCUGUGCACUAUUUGUAGGUCAAAGGGGGAGACCCCUCUGCCUAUGCUUUUUACACACACUUUAAAGUACCAGAAUGUAACACAGUAGACCUUCAGGUCGAAAUAACAAUA